rnacentral:rRNA from 1 species
GAUGAACGCUGGCGGCGUGCCUAAUACAUGCAAGUCGAGCGAACAGAUGAGGUGCUUGCUCCUCUGACGUUAGCGGCGGACGGGUGAGUAACACGUGGAUAACCUACCUAUAAGACUGGGAUAACUUCGGGAAACCGGAGCUAAUACCGGAUAAUAUAUUGAACCGCAUGGUUCAAUAGUGAAAGACGGUUUUGCUGUCACUUAUAGAUGGAUCCGCGCCGCAUUAGCUAGUUGGUAAGGUAACGGCUUACCAAGGCAACGAUGCGUAGCCGACCUGAGAGGGUGAUCGGCCACACUGGAACUGAGACACGGUCCAGACUCCUACGGGAGGCAGCAGUAGGGAAUCUUCCGCAAUGGGCGAAAGCCUGACGGAGCAACGCCGCGUGAGUGAUGAAGGUCUUCGGAUCGUAAAACUCUGUUAGUAGGGAAGAACAAAUGUGUAAGUAACUAUGCACGUCUUGACGGUACCUAAUCAGAAAGCCACGGCUAACUACGUG